rnacentral:lncRNA from 1 species
CAUGUGCCGAUUUAUUAUACUCAACUUAUUUCAUUGAAUUUUUUUUUUUUUUAAUCAAAUCCUUUCAGCAACCAAGAUGUCUUUCAGAAAUGUAGACAGAUAGCAGAAGAUGCAUUUCUCUGCAGAGAUUAUUAGGUGCCCCCCCCCGGCCCAUUUUUUUGCGUGGCCAAGUUGAAUUUUUUUUUUUUCCUCCAAGAUUUCGUGUGCUUCUAACCCUUAAUAACUGAGACGAUUUUUCUUCUGAGGGUUUGUUUACUGUGUUUAUACAUAAUGAUGCAGAGCAUCUACUGUGCUUACCAUAAACACAACAAAUGGUAAAAUAACACUUCAGUUCACCAUACAGCUUGAACGUUUAUUCAGGUUAUAGCUAAACGUUGCUUACAGAGCUCUCGGGAAGAGCAAAGCUGAGCGUGUGAGCGCCAGACGGGGAGAGGGGAGGACGGAGCAGCUCUGCAGGCCUCGCGCCAGCCCCCGCCGCAGGCGGUGCUGCGGGGGCCCCCCCCGCCGCUUCCCCGCGGCACCUUCCUGCGAGCUGAGGGCACGGAAACCCCAGACCCUGGGCCCACACCGAGCACGGACUGCCACCCUUCUGGAAGAGCCCAUCGAAAGGUCAAAAUCUUGAUCGUUACUUGCCUGCUGUGAAGCCGGUAGCUGUGCUCAUUCUAUUUCGGAGAGGGGGAAGCGACACACAGCCGCUGAGCUCCCUUGCCCACGGCUACGCAGGAAAAACAGCAGGGUUUCAGUAAAAACAAGCCUCAGAAUUUGAUACAGCAGCAUGUGGAUAACACUGACAUUCCUGUUGUCCUGAUUUAAAGGAAAGAAGGGACUUAUUUAAAUCUGAAGCUGGAUGAUGUAUUCUGCCUUUAGUCUACUGAAAAAACAUCUGGUGCCUGGAAGCAGCAAAUAUGUUGCUUGUUAAACCAAGCAGGCAAUUCUGUUAUUCUUGUAGCAGUGAAGUUUAUGGAAACCCCAAGCCCUGAUAUAGGAUAGCCCCAUUUCCCUGAAAGUUUUCGGUUACUGACUUAGAGUGAUUUUUAUAGAUUAUGGCACUUUUACUGUUGUCACCACAAUACAGAGCUAGUUACUAAAAUAAGCCUGUGCUAGCUACUCAGGCUGAAGUCAGAGAUGAGGCAUCUAUCGACUUGAAUAGAGCUGAGACCUUGUGUUAAUACCUUAGUACAUUUUUAGGUUAAGAGCAGGAGAUCUGCUCCUUAGGACGUAGGGCCGUGUCAAACCCUGUUCUUCCCAACCUUACCCGCUCCCACCUUGCUUGCAAUGCUGGUCCUCACACGUCUUUGCCUACUGGCCGUAUUUGGGGUCCUUCAGAGGCCAGUAUCUCUCCUUAGACUGGGUCUUGGUAGAAGGCUGUAAAGUCGGUAGAGCAGGUUGAGAUCGAAAGGCCAGAUCCGAAAAACUGGCGCUGAGCCUAAAGCGGCUCUGUGCUAGGCUUUCUGUGGGUAAGAUAAGUGGGUGGGAUAAAUCUCCCUGCUGGGCAGAGGUAUCUGGUGUGGCAGGCACCAAGCUCAGACAAGGUAGGUUGAAAUCCCCUUUCCUUUUAGAAAGGACAGGAGAAGAGGAAGGGAAAUGGGGCUGUUUCAAGAGGGAUAAAAAGAGAUAGCAGAGCAGUUUUCUUAUCUCUAGGCCAUUCAUAAUUUCAAGCUUAUGCUCUCAUUGUCAGGACUGCAAGGCCUGAAUUACAUACACAGAUUAUUAAAACAAAUCUUUGCAGACGAGGGAAGGGAUCCGCUAAUACUGUGUUGGAAAUUGUAGCCAGUGAUGUCUAUUUUUUUAACUAUACCAGCUUCAAUGCAUGAUACAGUGUUGGAAAGAAUGGAAUUUUGCUUAUUUUAAAAUAAACCUCUAAUAUUUGUUCUGAUCA